ACUUGGGUAGUUUAAUUAAAACUUUGAUUUGUGGUGUCAAUAAUGUAUUUAUUGCCUCAGGUU
rnacentral:tRNA from 1 species